rnacentral:tRNA from 1 species
GCCGGGAUGGCGGAAUUGGCAGACGCAGCGGACUUAAAAUCCGCCGGGGCAACCCUUGUGGGUUCGAGUCCCACUCCCGGCACCA